AGGAGCACCUUCCUCCGUUGACCAUGCACACACAGGCGAGGAAGGGACUACAGGGACGCCAGGCCUUCGGUCCUCUUCGAUUCUGGUUGGCCGAGGAGGAGAAAUAAGUCCACCUCCUGAUUCUGUUUAGAUAUGCAAGCAAGCUGUUCGACAAAAGUCCAGACAGGAAGAUUUCACUCAAUUGAUCUUUCGGUUUGGAAAAUAUGAAAAGGUUCUUGAAUCUUGGAUUCGCAUUGGAUGGGGUACACCGCGCCCACGCCUACGUUGUGCGGAUGGACGUCAAACAGGACGAGCAGCUGGAUGCCGAUGUGGCAGUUGUUUUAUGACGUCUAGGCCAUGUAGGUUGACAACAAUGAGGAGUACGUGUUGUCCGCUGUCGCUCCGAUCAGUCCUGGAGCCAGCAGCUGAGGAACCUUUGACCAGUACCAAGAAAUCAAGCCUUUCUCCCCGCUUUCUUCGGUCAUCGUGCCUCGAUCCCUUCGUUUUUUAUAGGAUGUUCCCAACUCCACCUCACCUGGGCAUUCCUCUCUGCCCCAUGGAUAAGUGUAUGCACGGAAGAGGAUGUAGAAUUGGUGUUUUAGUUUUCGGUGGUUUGCAACUCAAUUUUCUUCACCAUUUUCUCAGUAUUAAGGUGUAUCUUGGAUUGGCUAUGAAACUCCAUGUUACUUUAGUUUAUUCUGUCAAGAGUUAUGCAAUGUAGAGCCUGUUAUAUAUAGUACUAAACUAAUGCCUGCCAUGGCACACCUUUCUUCUAUGGCAGGUACCGUGCAAGUUUCUAUCACAAGAUCUGUUUGCUUCCCUUUUCAUUGUACAUUUUAGUGUCUCAUGAUGCCUUUUCUUUUGUCAAAUUAUUUACUCUUCACAUAUGUUCUGCAGAACAAUGA